CCUACGGGAGGCUGCAGUGAGGAAUAUUGGUCAAUGGACGAGAGUCUGAACCAGCCAAGUAGCGUGAAGGAUGACGGCCCUAUGGGUUGUAAACUUCUUGUAUAAAGGAAUAAAACGAGGCACGUGUGCCGUUUUGCAUGUACUUUAUGAAUAAGGAGCGGCUAACUCCGUGCCAGCAGCCGCGGUAAUACGGAGGAUCCGAGCGUUAUCCGGAUUUAUUGGGUGGAACGGGAGCGUAGAGGGGUUUUUAAGUCAGUUGUGAAAGUUUGCGGCUCAACCGUAAAAUUGCAAUUGAUACUGGCAGUCUUGAGUACAGUUGAGGUAGGCGGAAUUCGUGGUGUAGCGGU
rnacentral:rRNA from 1 species